GAUGAACGCUAGCGGCAGGCCUAAUACAUGCAAGUCGAACGAUAUUUUCCAGCUUGCUGGGAGAGAAAGUGGCGCACGGGUGCGUAACGCGUAUGCAACCUACCUUUAUCAGGGGGAUAGCCCGGAGAAAUCCGGAUUAAUACCGCAUAAAAUCACAGGAUGGCAUUAUCCAAUGAUCAAACAUUUAUGGGAUAAAGAUGGGCAUGCGUGUCAUUAGCUGGUUGGCGGGGUAACGGCCCACCAAGGCGACGAUGACUAGGGGAUCUGAGAGGAUUAACCCCCACACUGGUACUGAGACACGGACCAGACUCCUACGGGAGGCAGCAGUAAGGAAUAUUGGUCAAUGGGCGCAAGCCUGAACCAGCCAUGCCGCGUGCAGGAUGACUGCCCUAUGGGUUGUAAACUGCUUUUACCCGGGAAUAAACCUACUUACGAGUAAGUAGCUGAAUGUACCGGGGGAAUAAGGAUCGGCUAACUCCGUGCCAGCAGCAGCCGCCG
rnacentral:rRNA from 1 species